rnacentral:rRNA from 1 species
UACGUAGGGUGCAAGCGUUAAUCGGAAUUACUGGGCGUAAAGCGUGCGCAGGCGGUUGUGUAAGUCAGAUGUGAAAUCCCCAGGCUCAACCUGGGAAUUGCAUUUGAGACUGCACGGCUAGAGUGUAUCAGAGGGGGGUAGAAUUCCACGUGUAGCAGUGAAAUGCGUAGAGAUGUGGAGGAAUACCGAUGGCGAAGGCAGCCCCCUGGGAUAACACUGACGCUCAUGCACGAAAGCGUGGGGAGCAAACAGG